rnacentral:lncRNA from 1 species
CCAAAGUAAAAUUAAAUGUUUGAAGAGCCAAAGUCAACUUAUCAGUCCUGAAGAGAGAUAAAGAAGUUGUAGCUUUGAUUACUGAGGUUGAAUAGGCUAUUGGAGGGAGUUUUUCUAAUGUGGCUCACCUAUUUUAGAAUUCCAAAGAUGUUGAAGAGGCUAUUGGAGAUGCCCUAAUGAGGGAGUUGUGGGAGGGGUUCGAUCCCACUAUCCAACAGGAGAGAGAAAAUAUUGGACUUCAACUUUUUUUAUAAUUGAAUGGUUGGAUUGAAUCCCUCAUUGAACCCCCUCACCAAAAUACCUCUCAUUAUAGAAGCACCUUCAGUUGUUUGGUAGAUCAAUAAGCAGCACUAGACUGGACUUAAGUCCAUUGCACUGUUUGGUACAAGACUAUACUGGACUGCAUUGGACUUCAAUAUUUUUUAUAUAUGUAUUUUUUUGUGUUUAUUUAAUAUCAGAAAUAAUUAAAUUUAUGAAAAAACAUGCGCACAUAAUUAAAAGUAAGAAAGCCCCAUCACAUACUACUUAUUUGCUUUUACCCCGUCACAGUAAAACAUGUCCAAAUAUAACAAAGUAAAAACUCACCAAUCCAAUCUGGAUUGGACCUAUGUCCAAUUAAUUGGACUCAUCUAGUUCAAUUCGGCCCACCAAUUCGGCGCCACGUGUCAAAAAAUAAGUAUAGCCACCCGGGGAUACUAUUUAAAUACACUAUAUUCAAAUGGUAUUGGCCCAUGGCUAUACUAUUUAAUUAAAAAACAAUAAGAAAAAAGUACCCUCCUAAUUGCAUUAGUUUGUACUUUAUACAUAUUAAUUUGCUAGUUUCAACAUAUCUAAACUAGAUAUUAAUCAGCCACUAUAUAAUAUUGUAAUAUAAUUUUUAUGACAUGCAUUAUUCUUAAUGAAUAGUAUGUGAGAAUUAUUUUGUAUAAUACGUGAAUUUUGUGUCUUACUGCAAAUUUUGUAAAAAAUACGUGUAUUAAAUAUUAGAAAUACGUAUGUACAUGCACAAUACGACUAUUCCAC